GUGCAUGUUAUCAGCUGCUGUUGUGGAGAUUAAGCGUUUGCAGCUUGCAAGAGAGCUUGACCUUGUAGAUAAACCCGUUGCCGUACCCUUUAGUGUAUUAUGGCAAAUACCACAAUAUUUCUUAUUAGGCGCAUCAGAAGUAUUCACAUUCAUAGGGCAGCUUGAGUUCUUCUACGAAGAAUCACCAGAUACUAUGCGGACGUUAUGCGGCGCACUUCCGCUCCUUAAUUUUUCAUUGGGGAAUUACUUGAGCUCUUUCAUUCUUACUAUGGUAACUUACUUCACUACACAAGGUGGGAGGCCCGGAUGGAUUCCAGAUAACUUGAACAAUGGACAUCUUGAUUACUUUUUUCUGCUUAUAUCUGGACUCAGCUUAUUAAAUAUGUUGCUGUACAUAAUUGCUGCCAAAAUGUACAAGCAGAAAAAGGUUUCUUAAGAUUUUUCAAGCAGGUAUUGCUCUUUGAGUGGAAGCAUGUUCUCAUAUUUUUUUGUGGAUAUUGUUCUGUAUGGGUUUUUGGAGACCUAGUUUUGCUAGAUAAUUAGGAUCAAAUGUUGGUCUCCUAAUUUAUUAAAUUCGCAAUUUUUGUCCCUCUAUCUCAUUUAAAAAAAAAUACAAAAUUUUGGUCCCCCCCUAUUAUUAGCAUUUCAUUAAAUGGCAUGACACUAUACACUUCAAUUAUUUGGCAGCCACAUUAUAUUUUAUUAUUUUAUACAAUUUCCAAAUCAGUUUUCUUUCUUUUUAUUAUUAUGUCAUUUUAUAAAAGAGUUGAGAAAAAAGACACACUGGUAUAAAAGAUCCAUUCAGUUUGAUCUUCUUGAAAUUAUUUUGGGUGUGUUUGGUAACACAAAUAAGCUAGCUUAUAGCUUAUUGAGGUAGCUUAUAAGCUUGUUUCAUAAAAUUAGAGGUGUUUGGUAACAAGUUUUUUUUACUAGCUUAUAGCUUAUUUUACCAAACAGAGCCUUUAUGACAAUUAAGCUCAAUUAUCCUAUGAAUAACAUAAUUUAGAAACGGAGAAUACUCUGUUGUACACCUCAAUCAAAGCUCAAUUAUCCUCUGGGAUUGUUAGUACUCCGUUACAACCCUCUGUCACAGAUGAUAAAAGAAUCUGGUGCGUGGAGAGAAAUGGAGAAUAUACCGUUAGAAAUGUUUAUUGACUUUGUGCUCAAAAUUUGGCUGAUACAUCUCAUCUCUGAAUGGAUGGUAAUUGGGAAUUGAUUUGGAAGAUUUAAGCUCCUUCAAAGGUAUACAAUCUUUUGUGACUAAUAUGUCGAAGGUGUGUUUCCAAUACAGUUACAGCUUCACGAUAAGGGAGAUACUUGUCCUACUAACUGUGCUCUCUCUUUGUACUGCAAAUGAUGAGGAUGAUAACACUUACAUCUUUUUCAACUUUCAACUGUCUCAGUAGCAAAAACAUCUGGAGUAUGUGUGCCUUUUCACGAACCAUUACUGCCGUGACUGCUAGUUCAAAUUCUGCAGCUGAGGAAAAUUUUCAAGGUCUGCAUCAGCUUUCUACAGACAACGCAUCACUAUUCGCUUGUAUGUUGUGGAGUAUAUGGAAGCAACGUAAUAGUAAGCUCUGGAAUAAUACUGUUGAGGCAAACAUCUUGUUUUUAUAUGCGCUCAAAGUUGUUGCUGGACUGAAAUUCAGUUCAGACUGCUUCAAGCAUGACAGAGACGAAAUGCAGAGGAAUUAGCACGACCAGGUGGAAAAAACAUGCAGCUGGCUGAGUAAACUGCAACAUAGAUGAUGUCUCUUUUUCAUCCCAUGAUAAUAAAGUAAGUAUGGGUAUACAUACCAGAGAUAGUUUGGCGCUUUUAUUUUGGUUAAAACUGAAUGGUUUACUUCUAAAUGCGAGAUAUAUACUGGAGAAACACUUGGUUCAUGAAUUACAACGGGACCCGUGGAUUAUGAACUUGAUUUGAAGAAGUUGCUUGAAUAGGAAGUUACUGAAUUCGGAGACAUUAUCAAUCAUUGCAAACAAAUUUUCUCUACUUUUUAUAAAAACUUGUGUAGAAUUUGAGUAGACAAACAAACGAGGUUGCCCAUAAGGCCGUAAGUUAGUCAAGAUGGCUACAUUUUGAGUAAUGAAAUGCUAUAAACACAUAUUGUUAAGCAUACCUAAAAAAGAAGUUAAGGAUAAAGUUAAUGCUAGAAAGAUAAUUUUUUUUUAUAUUUCUAAGGUAUUAAAUGCACAAGUUUCAAGAUAAAACUUCCUUAUUAGUAUGUUUAACUAGUGUUCGGGAAUAUUGUUUAACAUUUUUCAUAAAUAAAUUAGAAAGUUCAAAUUAUUUGGGGGUGAAAUCCCUCGUCUUGUAUAGGGAUAAAAUUGGUUAAACAUUUUUUCUAAAAGAUAAUACCUUGUUGCGUAAAAUUAUAAGGAAAAAAAUUAAACCAUAAAAGGGUCCUUUUGAAUUGACUUAAUUUUUGAGCUUAUGUAAAACAACUUAUGCAAAUAAAUCAGUUUUUAUAUUAUAUAUAAGCUUUUCAAGGUAAUUUGUGAUAAAAACAACUUAUAAAAAUAUAAUUUUUUUAGUGAAAACUUAUGAAUUAACAUAAAAUUUUAUUUAUUUAUAUAAAUUAUUUUCAUAAGCUCAAAAAUAAGCUUGGGCAUACAAGUGCAGCUUUCACUUUUUUUGUUUAGCUAAUAAAAAAUCUUUAAAAAUUGAUAUGCCCAUCUCUCCAACAGGUCGACCCCACAAGUUGAAAGUGCCGUGACGUAAAAAAAUAAGUGUUUGAAAAAAAGGGAAUAUUUUAUAUGCAAAGGGACAAGUUACAUUAUACAAUAAUAACAAGUAAUCCAUAUUAGAAAGGGACAAGUUACAUUAUUCAAUCCAAUAAUUGAAAAUGAAAAUUGUUUACCUUGACAAGUCACAAGUUUGAGAGAAAGAAGAAGUCAAAGAAUUAGAAAAAAUUUGAUUAUCUUCACAAAUAUUUGUUGAGAUGAAUGUGUCUUUUCUAGUCAGUAAUUUAUUGUGUGGUUUCUGAGAAUAAAAAUAAAAAUUUAUGUAUCUACUUAUAUAACUAUAUGAACUGCUGAAAGUGUUGUCUCUAGAAAAAGUUGACUAGAAGGUUUGAAAGUACCAACAAGCAAUAAUAACUGAAAAUUGAUAUUGUUUCUUAUAUUCCCUCUCCCUCCAUAUAUACAUUGCAUUGCACUACUUCUCAGGGAAGUAAGAGUCAUUUGUUCAUUCAUGGGUUCUGUUGAUGAUGUUGAUCACAAUAUUCCUCAACUGGAAGAACAAGGCCUUCUUCAGGUUCUCUUCUCCUUCCGAAUUCAUACUUUUCUUUCUUUUUUCCAUAAAUAGAUAAGAUAAAUGUGUUUUAUUCUCUGCUUAAUUAGCUUAAUAAUUACAUCUCCUUCUCAAGAACUACCACCUAAUAGCUAGUUUCAUGAGUGUAUGCUUGUUUUCACUUUCACUAUGUAUUUUCAAGAUGUUAAUUAGGGAUGAUAAUAUCUUUAUUUUCUUGUUAGGUUUAAUUAGCCUAAAACUAUGUCACUUUAUGUGAAUCACAAAUAUAUAUCACUCACUCACAAACUGAAGCUUGAGCAUAAUAUUAUUAAUCACAGACAACUGCGUUGAAUUAAAUUACCAUGAUUUUGUAUAUGUUUGUUUCGGCAUUGAAAAUUUUAGUUAACGUGCGUCUAAUCUGGUGCAUCAAUUUAUAGCUUCUACAUAUUGACCUUUUAAUUGCCUUGGAAAGCGACAAUGAGUGGGAAAACACCGAACGAAACAUACCCUAUUCAUGGCGUCCAACCUAGCAAUUUCGGCAUAUCUACCGGUUGAGCUGGAUUUGUGGACGAGAAAAAUUGAUUUUGAUUGAAUUGCUUUUAGUUGAAACUGAGUUGACCAAUAAAAGUGGUAUUUUGCUUUGUGAUAUGUUAAUUUAUUUUAAUUCUUAAGGAUGAAACGACCGAACAAUACACAGGAGAUGGUUCGGUUGACUUUAGAGGGAAGCCUGCUAUUAAGCACAAUACUGGCAAUUGGAGAGCUUGUCCGUUUAUUCUAGGUAUGCUUGCCUUUUUACAUUGACCUUAUGUUUUAAAUGAUCCAUUUUCAUUUGUAUCAUAUUUAUGUAUAUAAAUCACAGGUAAUGAAUGUUGUGAACGUUUGGCUUUCUUUGGCAUUGCAACAAACCUUGUUACCUAUCUUACCACCAAACUACAUGAAGGAAAUGCCUCUGCUGCCAGAAAUGUCAGCAUCUGGCAAGGAACUUGUUAUCUUACACCUCUCAUCGGAGCUGUUCUGGCAGAUGGUUACUGGGGAAGAUACUGGACAAUCGCUGUUUUCUCUAUGAUUUAUUUCGUUGUAAUAUACUUGAGAUACAUUUUCUUCUCCUAGUCAGUAAUAGUCUUUAAAUGUUUGUUUUAUUGUGUCAUACUGAUAUGGUUGUUUCUUGCAGGGAAUGUGUAUCUUGACUCUUUCUGCAUCUGUUCCAUCCUUGAAGCCAGCUGAGUGUUUGGGUUCGGUAUGUCCUCCGGCUAGUCCUAUGCAAUAUUAUGUGCUCUACUUUGGUCUCUAUGUAAUUGCACUAGGGACUGGCGGUGUAAAAGCAUGUGUGUCAUCUUUUGGGGCCGAUCAGUUUGAUGAUACUGAUCCCAAGGAAAAGGCCAAGAAGGCUUCCUUUUUCAACUGGUAUUACUUUUCUAUCUACCUAGGUGCCCUUGUGUCAUGUAGCUUCAUUGUGUGGGUUCAAGAUAAUGCAGGAUGGGGUCUUGGAUUUGGCAUUCCUGCUUUAUUUAUGGGGUUAUCCGUUGGAAGCUUCUUUUUAGGCGCCUCUCUCUACAGGUUUCAAAAACCAAGGGGUAGCCCUAUUACAAGAAUGUGCCAGGUUGUGUUAGCAUCUGUCCGGAAGCAUAAUUUGGUUGUGCCUGAGGAUAGUAGUCUCCUGUAUGAGAUGCCUGACAAGAAUUCCGGAGUUGAAAGAAGUCGCAAACUGAUGCAUCAUGAUGAUCUCAAGUAAUGUUUUUACUUCAAGCUUUCUUACCGUCUUUAUUGCACUGUGAAAUCGUAUGCUAAAAUUUGAAGUUUUGACAUUUUUUUGUAAAGUUUUCUUCCUACUAAUAAUCUAUUGUUGAUAAUGUCUGAAGUAUCCUCCCCAGCUUGAGAGUGCUUUCAACUACAACAGGGCUUCCUCUUCACGACCUUCUAAAACUCCUUUUUUCUUUUUUCUUUCUUUGUUUAAAUAAAGGUAUUUUGAUAGAGCCGCUGUAGUGUCUGAUUCAGAGAACAAUAGUGGUGACUAUUCUAAUCCAUGGAGGCUUUGCACCGUGACACAGGUGGAGGAAUUGAAAAUCUUGAUUCGCAUGUUUCCAAUUUGGGCUUCAGGCAUUAUAUUUUCUGCUGUCUACGCCCAGAUGUCAACACUGUUUGUGGAGCAAGGAACUAUGAUGGACACUAAUAUUAGUUCCUUCAAAUUAUCCCCAGCUUCUCUCUCAACCUUUGAUGUAGUAAGUGUUGUUUUUUGGGUCCCCGUCUACGACAAGAUACUUGUUCCUAUUGCAAGGAAAUUUACAGGCAAGAAAAGCGGCCUUUCCGUUUUUCAAAGAAUGGGAAUUGGCCUUUUUAUUUCCGGGCUGUGCAUGUUAUCAGCUGCUGUUGUGGAGAUUAAGCGUUUGCAGCUUGCAAGAGAGCUUGACCUUGUUGAUAAACCCGUUGCCGUACCCUUUAGUGUAUUAUGGCAAAUACCUCAAUAUUUCUUAUUAGGCGCAUCAGAGGUAUUCACAUUCAUCGGCCAGCUUGAGUUCUUCUACGACGAAUCACCAGAUGCUAUGCGGACGUU
rnacentral:lncRNA from 1 species